rnacentral:rRNA from 1 species
AUUGAACGCUGGCGGCAGGCUUAACACAUGCACGUCGAGCGAGCGGCGGACGGGUGAGUAAUGUCUGGGAAACUGCCUGAUGGCGGGGGAUAACUACUGGCAACGGUAGCUAAUACCGCAUACCAUCAGAUGUGCCCAGAUGGGAUGAGCUAGUAGGUGGGGUAAUGGCUCACCUAGGCGACGAUCCCUCGCGGGUCUGCGAGGAUGACCAGCCACACUGGAAAUGAGACAGGGUCCAGACUCCUACGGGAGGCAGCAGUGGGGAAUAUUGCACAAUGGGCACAAGCCUGAGGCAGCCAUGCCGCGUGUGUGAAGAAGCCGUGCGGGUUGUAAAGCACUUUCAGCGAGGAGGCGUUACUCGCAGAAGAAGCACCGGCUAACUCCGUGCCAGCAGCCGCGGUAAUAC